rnacentral:rRNA from 1 species
AACGUAGGUGGCAAGCGUUAUCCGGAUUCACUGGGCGUAAAGCGCGUGCAGGUGGUUCUGUAAGUUGGAUGUUAAAUCUUCCGGCCUAACCGGGAGCGGUCAUUCAAUACUGCAGGACUUGAGGGCAGAAGAGGGGGGUGGAAUUGCCGGUGUAGUGGUGAAAUGCGUAGAUAUCGGCAGGAACACCUGUGGCGAAAGCGGCCCCCUGGUCUGCUCCUGACACUCAGACGCGAAAGCUAGGGUAGUGAACGGG